UGCCCUCCUGCUUGAUGGUCCUCAAAGCAGACAGCAGGUCGCCAUUAUAGACAGAAGUCAUACGUCUUAUUUAUACUGCCAUGACGAAAAGAGUAGAAGAACAAGAAUAGUUUAGAGUGGGUAAAAACCAACACCAAUUUACUCACAGGUGAUUGACAAUGAGAUAAGACUGCAAUGUUGUAAAGUAUUAUUUAAAAGCGGACUUCACAGAUUCGCGAUUGACUGUGAAUUCACCACAUGGUCAACCAUGCUGGAAAACGUUAUGCGAGCGGGCCACCGGGGGAGAGACGGCGAGCUAUGCCGCGCAGGAAUUCCCUCUGCCGGCAGGCGGGCGGACAACACCGCUGAGUUCCCCGGAGGUCGCCUCUGCCCUCGAGACGAGAAGGGAAGCCUAUCGUCAAUCGCACUGAAUAUUACAUUCACUUUUACAUAUUCACACAAUAUAUGAACAUUUCAAAGUCAUGAAUUAUGUAAGAAUUGAAAUGCGUUUGUUUGUGUGUUUGUAGAUUUAGCAGAAGAUUAAACUUUUAAGAAAAAUAGAAUAAAUCGAUUUUUUUAUGAGACGAUUGCUCCAAAAAUCUUGAAACAUUUUUGAUGUACGUUUUUUUUCCUGCCGAAUUUGAUUCGAUUUUUUUUAAAAGCGGUUUCUUCAAAAAGGAAUGUAUCUACUUGAAAAAUCUUGUAACGUUUUUUUAAAAAAAACAAUGCCCCACAUUUCUGUUGAACUUGCAUCCUUUGCCUCGUACAACGUUUUAACUUGAAAAAAAUAGUUUUGCUCAAGCAAGUUCUUGGUACAUUAUAUAACGUCAUAACAAUCAAUAUGGAGCUGUGUGUGUGUGUGUGUGAGAGAGAGAGAGAGAGAGAGAGAGAGAGGGAGAGAGAGAGAAAGAGAGAGAGAAAGAGAGAGCCAGCACCUUGUCAUUUUGCAGGAGAACUGAGAAUGAGAGGCAUGAAGCAGGAUCCUGCUGCUUCUUUUGGCCACAAUUACCCUACAGGAGAGGGACCUGUGCGGGGGCAUGCAGACACACACACAAUCCUCCCUGGGAAUUGCCUCAGCUGUUACCCCCUACGCUGAGCUUGUUCUCGUCCUCCUGCCUCGACCCUAAAACCUUAUCUGGCAGCUCUGGUUCCUCAGGGCGCAGUACUGAGGCCCCUGGCAACUGACUGCAGGAUUUGCAGUGGCAGAUUUAUGGAAAAUUGUCAUCUGAAC